AACGAACGCUGGCGGCGUGCCUAACACAUGCAAGUCGAGCGAGAAAAGGGGAGCAAUUCCCUGAGUACAGCGGCGCACGGGUGAGUAACACGUAGGUGAUCUCCCCUCGAGCCCGGAAUAACCUACCGAAAGGUGGGCUAAUACCGGAUAUGACCACGGGGAGUUUUUGGCUCCUGCGGUGAAAGAUGGCCUCUACCUGUAAGCUAUCACUCAAGGAUGAGCCUGCGUGCCAUUAGCUAGUUGGUGAGGUAACGGCUCACCAAGGCUAUGAUGGCUAGCUGGUCUGAGAGGAUGGCCAGCCACACUGGGACUGAAACACGGCCCAGACUCCUACGGGAGGCAGCAGUGGGGGAUAUUGCGCAAUGGG
rnacentral:rRNA from 1 species